rnacentral:rRNA from 1 species
UACGGGGGGGGCAAGCGUUGUUCGGAAUUACUGGGCGUAAAGGGCUCGUAGGUGGCCAACUAAGUCAACCGUGAAAUCCCUCGGCUUAACCGGGGAACUGCGUUUGAUACUGGAUGGCUUGAGUUUGGGAGAGGGAUGCGGAAUUCCAGGUGUAGCGGUGAAAUGCGUAGAUAUCUGGAGGAACACCGGUGGCGAAGGCGGCAUCCUGGACCAAUACUGACACUGAGGAGCGAAAGCCAGGGGAGCAAACGGG